UAUUUAUUCCCCAAACUCAGUCUUCCCUGUCUGAGGGAUAGAACAUGUUCCGGUGAGUUCCCUGCAUGAAGCAGCAGAGAACCUGAGUUUGCAGAAAGUAGGCUGCUCCAGAAGAGAACUUUCCCAUUCUCAUUAUUCCAGUUAGUCCGUCUUCCUCUGCUGGAGGGCACUGCGUGAAGGGUGGAGGGGCUGCAUGUGUCUGCCCACCCCUCUCCUCUUCUCCAUGACAAGCAGGGACUUCUUGAGCAUCCAAGCUUCGUGUCUGUCCUGAGGUCAGAGAAGGUGUGAGCAGUCAAGAUGAUGAAGAAGUGCCCAGAGCGAAACUUCCUGCUCGUUGGAAGUAGAGCAGGAUGGCUCUGAUGAGGAAGAAGCAGUUUAGAAUCCUCUGCAGCCUGUGAUAGGGGAGGACCAGUGUUGUAACUAACAGCUAGUCUGUACUGGGAACGGAUACAGGGUCAUUACCGAAACAUCUGAAGAGGAGCUGGAGCUGAGAGUCAGAACCCGC